rnacentral:tRNA from 1 species
GCUCGUGUAACGCAGUGGUAGCGUGUUGCUCUUAUACAUAUUUCAGAAAUGAAAUUGGUAUGAUAGAAAUGCAAAGGCCGUGAGUUCGAUCCUCACCUCGAGCA